AGAGUUUGAUCCUGGCUCAGGAUGAACGCUGGCGGCGUGCCUAACACAUGCAAGUCGAACGAAGCGCCUGCGGCGAACCCCUCCGGGGGAAAGCCGCAGGGGACUGAGUGGCGGACGGGUGAGCAACGCGUGGGCAACCUGCCCCGUACCGGGGGACAACAGCCGGAAACGGCUGCUAAUACCGCAUAUUCCCGCGGGGCCGCAUGGCCCUGCGGGGAAAGCUCCGGCAGUACGGGAUGGGCCCGCAUCUGAUUAGCUUGUUGGCGGGGUAACGGCCCACCAAGGCUGCGAUCAGUAGCCGGCCUGAGAGGGCGGCCGGCCACAUUGGGACUGAGACACGGCCCAGACUCCUGCGGGAGGCAGCAGUGGGGGAUAUUGCACAAUGGGGGGAACCCUGAUGCAGCGACGCCGCGUGAACGAAGAAAUAUUUCGGUAUGUAAAGUUCUAUCAGCAGGGAAGAAAAUGACAGUACCUGACCAAGAAGCCCCGGCUAACUACGUGCCAGCAGCCGCGGUAAUACGUAGGGGGCGAGCGUUAUCCGGAUUCACUGGGCGUAAAGGGAGCGCAGGCGGCACGGCAAGUCCGGUGUGAAAGCCCGGGGCCCAACCCCGGGACUGCACUGGAAACUGCCGGGCUGGAGUGUCGGAGGGGCAGGCGGAAUUCCUAGUGUAGCGGUGAAAUGCGUAGAUAUAGGGAGGAACACCGGUGGCGAAGGCGGCCUGCUGGACGACGACUGACGCUGAGGCUCGAAAGCGUGGGGAGCAAACAGGAUUAGAUACCCUGGUAGUCCACGCCGUAAACGAUGACUACUAGGUGUCGGGGGACGACAGUGCCCCGGUGCCGGCGCAAACGCAAUAAGUAGUCCACCUGGGGAGUACGUCCGCAAGGAUGAAACUCAAAGGAAUUGACGGGGACCCGCACAAGCGGUGGAGCAUGUGGUUUAAUUCGAAGCAACGCGAAGAACCUUACCUGGCCUUGACAUCCCGGCGAUGCAGGGGCAAUGCCCUGUUCCCUUCGGGGCGCCGGAGACAGGUGGUGCAUGGUUGUCGUCAGCUCGUGUCGUGAGAUGUUGGGUCAAGUCCCGCAACGAGCGCAACCCCUGCCCUUAGUAGCCAGCACGUAGAGGUGGGCACUCUAGGGGGACUGCCGGGGACAACCCGGAGGAAGGCGGGGACGACGUCAAAUCAUCAUGCCCCUUAUGGCCAGGGCUACACACGUGCUACAAUGGCGCGCACAGAGGGAGGCGAGGCGGCGACGCCGAGCGAAGCCCGGAAGGCGCGCCCCAGUUCGGAUUGCAGCCUGCAACUCGGCUGCAUGAAGCCGGAAUCGCUAGUAAUCGCGGAUCAGAACGCCGCGGUGAAUACGUUCCCGGGUCUUGUACUCACCGCCCGUCA
rnacentral:rRNA from 1 species